rnacentral:rRNA from 1 species
GAUGAACGCUGGCGGCGUGCCUAACACAUGCAAGUCGAACGGAGUAUUAGAGCUUGCUUUAAUACUUAGUGGCGGACGGGUGAGUAACGCGUGGGUAACCUGCCCUUAAGUGGGGGAUAACAGUUGGAAACGACUGCUAAUACCGCAUAAAGUUAGAGGUUCGCAUGGACCUGUAACCAAAGGAGUAAUCAGCUGUUGGAUGGACCCGCGUAUGAUUAGCUAGUUGGGGAGGUAACGGCUCACCAUGGCGACGUUCAGUAGCCGGCCUGAGAGGGUGAACGGCCACACUGGGACUGAGACACGGCCCAGACUCCUACGGGAGGCAGCAGUUGGGAAUUUUGGACAAUGGGGGCAACCCUGAUCCAGCCAUGCCGCGUGAGUGAAGAAGGCCUUCGGGUUGUAAAGCUCUUUCGCAAGGAAAGAAAACUUAUCUACUAAUACUAGGUGAGGUUGACGGUACCUUGAUAAGAAGCACCGGCUAACUACGUGCCAGCCGCCGCAGUAAGAC